rnacentral:rRNA from 1 species
GAUGAACGCGGGCGGCGUGCCUAAUACAUGCAAGUCGAGCGAAUGGAUUAAGAGCUUGCUCUUAUGAAGUUAGCGGCGGACGGGUGAGUAACACGUGGGUAACCUGCCCAUAAGACUGGGAUAACUCCGGGAAACCGGGGCUAAUACCGGAUAACAUUUUGAACCGCAUGGUUCGAAAUUGAAAGGCGGCUUCGGCUGUCACUUAUGGAUGGACCCGCGUCGCAUUAGCUAGUUGGUGAGGUAACGGCUCACCAAGGCAACGAUGCGUAGCCGACCUGAGAGGGUGAUCGGCCACAAGGGGACUGGGACACGGCCCAGACUCCUACGGGAGGCAGCAGUGGGGAAUCUUCCGCAAUGGACGAAAGUCUGACGGAGCAACGCCGCGUGAGUGAUGAAGGCUUUCGGGUCGUAAAACUCUGUUGUUAGGGAAGAACAAGUGCUAGUUGAAUAAGCUGGCACCUUGACGGUACCUAACCAGAAAGCCACGGCUAACUACGUGCCAGCAGCCGCGGUAA